rnacentral:hammerhead_ribozyme from 1 species
GUACUACUUAAGAGUCUCAGAGUAGGACGAAACAGCUGUCCAGUAU